AUACGUAGGUGGCAAGCGUUGUCCGGAUUUAUUGGGCGUAAAGCGAGCGCAGGCGGUUAUUUAAGUCUGAAGUGAAAGCCCUCAGCUCAACUGAGGAAUUGCUUUGGAAACUGGAUGACUUGAGUGCAGUAGAGGAAAGUGGAACUCCAUGUGUAGCGGUGAAAUGCGUAGAUAUAUGGAAGAACACCAGUGGCGAAGGCGGCUUUCUGGACUGUAACUGACGUUGAGGCUCGAAAGUGUGGGUAGCAAACAGGAUUAGAUACCCUGGUAGUCCACACCGUAAACGAUGAGUGCUAGCUGUUCGAGGGUUUCCGCCCUUGAGUGGCGUAGCUAACGCAUUAAGCACUCCGCCUGGGGAGUACGACCGCAAGGUUGAA
rnacentral:rRNA from 1 species